rnacentral:rRNA from 1 species
UAGGGAAUAUUGCGCAAUGGGGGAAACCCUGACGCAGCGACGCCGCGUGAGUGAUGAAGGACUUCGGUUCGUAAAGCUCUGUUGCAUGGGAAUAAGAAAGUGAAUGUACCAUGCGAGUAAGGAUCGGCUAACUUCGUGCCAGCAGCCGCGGUAAGACGAGGGAUCCUAGCGUUGCUCGGAAUCAUUGGGCGUAAAGCGGGUGUAGGUGGCUUGGUAAGUCAGGUGUGAAAGCCCAGGGCUCAACCCUGGAAGUGCAUUUGAAACUGCUAAGCUUGAGUGCCAGAGAGGUUAUUAGAAUACCUAGUGUAGUGGUGAAAUACGUAGAUAUUAGGUGGAACACCGGAGGCGAAGGCGGAUAACUGGCUGGACACUGACACUGAGACCCGAAAGUGCGGGGAUC